UGGGGAAUAUUGCACAAUGGGGGAAACCCUGAUGCAGCGACGCCGCGUGAAGGAAGAAGUAUCUAGGUAUGUAAACUUCUAUCAGCAGGGAAGAUAAUGACGGUACCUGACUAAGAACGCCCCGGCUAACUACGUGCC
rnacentral:rRNA from 1 species